CGGUGGAUCCACUAGAGGCAGAUGACUAGUUGUUAGAGGUAGAACAUAAUCUGGAAACCGUAGGGUGCUCAGAUGAAGAAAAGGUGAGAUAUGCAUCGCACCAGCUAACCGGACCAGCAGCAGCUUGGUGGAGAAAUUUCAGCCUUAACCGAGCAAAUAAUCAGCCUAUCACUUGGGAGGAGUUCAAGGAGAAUUUCCGUCAGACCCAUAUUCCAAAGGGAAAGAUGGAUAUCAAAAAGAGGGGGUUUCGCAAUCUGACUCAAGGUAGCAAGAGGAUAAAUGACUACCUAAACAAGUUUAAUGAUUUCGCAAGAUAUGCUCCGGAUGAUGUGAAUACAGAAGCCAAGAAGGUGGAAAAGUUUAUGGAGGGGCUACAUCCAUUCCUGAAAAUGCACCUCUCAAUUCACGGGAUCACCCAGUUUCAAGACCUUGUCAACAGGGCCUUCAUACUUGAGAAUGAGCAUGCCAACCUAAGUGAAGAAAGAAGGAAGAAAGCAAGGGUAGAUCCACGCCCCAUGAUGCAUCACCCACGUCCUAUGAUGCCUGGACCAGUGCGUCCUCAUAUGCCAUCACCAUGGCCUAGAUUUCCUACUCAGCCAACCUUUGUUCCUAAAUGUGGGAAGUGUGGAAAAGGUCAUGCUACUCGAGAUUGUAUGACGGGUACAGGACUUUGCUUCAAUUGUGGGAGACCAGGACACCACAAGCUCAAUUGCACCUCUCCUCCCGCAAAUCCUACAAGGCCACCUAUGCAGCAGACUCAAGUGCAUCGUCCACCAGCUGGGCGAGGACAAGGUGGACCUAUGAACUAUGCAGCAAGAGGAGUUGGGCGUGGAGGACAAGUAGGAGGACAGCCAAAGCUGAAUUAUGUGGCUGUAGAGCAACUAGGAGAAGCUAGAGAUGUUGUCAUUGGUAAACUACUCAUUCCUCCUUUAGUUGGUAUCGUUCUUUUUGAUACCGGUGCCACACACUCAUUUAUUUCCCAAGAUUUCGUGAAUAAGAAUGGAUUAACAUGCACACCAUUGGAAAAAGCUUUAGGAGUUAACUCACCUGGAGGGAAGAUUACAGUAGAGGCAAUGCACAGAAAUCAACCAAUAAUAAUCCACAACACCAAAUUUUCAGCAGACCUGCAUGUUAUAGAGAUGUCAGGGUUAGAAAUAAUCCUUGGGAUGGAUUGGUUAGCUGCUAAUGGAGUGAAAGUAGAUUGUGAACUUAAAAGUGUAUCCAUAAGGAAGUCUGAUGGCUCUAGGCUGAUAUAUUUUGGAAGUAGAACCAGACCCAACAAUCCCUUAGUAAUGGCAGCAAGUGGACAAAAGAAAGAAAUAAAGGAUAUACCUGUAGUUUGUGAGUUUCCUGAUGUAUUUCCAGAUGAACUGCCGGUUAUGCCGCCUGAUAGGGAGUUAGAGUUCAGCAUUGUUUUAAUGCCUGGGGCAUCACCUAUCUCCAAAAGACCCUACAAAAUGUCACAGCCAGAGUUAGUGGAGCUAAAGAAACAAUUGGAUGAGCUGAAGGAAAAAGGAUUCAUUAGGGAAAGCAUGUCACCAUGGGGAGCACCAGUAUUAUUUGUAGAGAAAAAGGAUGGAGGGUUGAGGCUAUGCACAGAUUUUCGAGAUCUCAACAAGGUAACUGUAAAGAAUAAGUAUCCGUUACCAAGAAUAAAUGAUUUAUUUGAUCAACUCAAGGGUGCAUGUGUCUUCUUGAAAAUUGACUUGAGAUCUGGAUAUCACCAAAUGAAAGUGAAGGAAGAGGACAUUGAGAAGACGACAUUUGUGUCUCGGUAUGGACACCAUGAGUACACUGUGGUUCCAUUCGGUCUAACUAAUGCCCUAGCUAUGUUCAUGAACUUGAUGAACAAAAUUUUCAUGCAAUAUCUGGACAAGUUUGUAGUGGUCUUUAUUGAUGACAUAUUAAUAUAUUCAAGAAGCAAGGAAGAGCAUGCUGAACACUUGAGGAUAGCACUUCAAAUCUUAAGAGAGAAUCAAUUGUAUGCAAAAUUUAGUAAGUGUGAGUUUUGGCUGGACCAAGUAGCUUUCUUGGGGCAUGUAAUUUCAGGAAGAGGAGUUGAGGUUGACCCAUCCAAAAUUGAGACAGUUGUGUCUUGGGCUCGUCCGACCAAUCCAAGUGAGAUAAGGAGUUUCUUGGGCUUUGCUGGAUACUACCGCAGAUUUAUAAAAGGGUUUUCGCAGAUUACAGCACCAAUCACCAAAUUGCUUAGGAAAGAAGCUAAAUUUAUUUGGACUGAAGAGUGUGAGAGAAGUUUUGAGGAACUAAGAAAAGGUUAACUACCGCACCAGUGUUGGCAUUACCUGAAAGUGGACAAGAUUAUGUGGUGUAUUGUGAUGCUUCAAAAUCUGGACUAGGAUGUGUUCUGAUGCAAAAUGAUAGAGUGAUAGCCUAUGCUUCUAGGCAAUUAAAGACGCAUGAAGUAAACUAUCCUACCCAUUACUUGGAGUUGGGAGCUGUUGUGUUUGCACUGAAAACAUGGAGGCACUACUUAUAUGGUUCUAAGUGCACACUGUACAGCGACCACAAGAGUCUCAAAUACAUUUUUACACAAAAAGAGUUGAACAUGAGGCAGAGGAGGUGGCUGGAACUAAUCAAGGAUUAUGAUCUGACAAUUAACUACCACCCUGGUAAGGCAAAUGUAGUGGCAGAUGCACUUAGUAGAAAGAAGCAAUGCAACCACAUAUCGAUUGAAGGGUAUGGCAAAGAGCUAUUGCAGGAUCUUGCAAAGAUGGGAAUAGAGAUGAGAGAGGCCACAUCUAGUGCUAAUAUAGCAAUCAUGACAUUUCACCCCACAUUGCUAGAUCAGAUUAAGGAAAAGCAAGCAAUGGAUGCCUUCAUCAAGGAGGAAACGAGAAGAAUUCGAGCGGGACAGCCUUCACAAUUCAGGUUGGACCAGGAAGGAGUUCUUUGGAACCAUAGUAGGAUCUAUGUGCCAAAUGACCUACAGAUCAAGGAAAUUAUUUUGCAUGAAGCUCAUGAUACUUUGUACACUAUCCAUCCUGGGAGCACGAAGAUGUAUAAGGAUGUGAAGGGAAAUUUUUGGUGGCCUGGUAUGAAAAGGGAAAUCACAGAAUAUGUCAGCAAGUGUGACACUUGUCAGAGGGUAAAAGCAGAACAUCAAAGGCCUGCCGGGUUAUUAAAGCCACUAGAGACACCAGAUUGGAAAUGGGAAGAUCUAUGUAUGGAUUUUAUUACUGGUUUUCCUAUGACACCAAAAAAGAAGGAUGCUAUAUGGGUUGUGGUCGACCGACUCACUAAGUCAGCACACUUCAUUGCCACAAACCAGAAAUAUUCCUUUGAUAAGUUGGCUGAACUGUACUUAGAGAGGAUAGUUGCCCUCCAUGGUGUGCCAAAGACCAUAACAUCUGACCGAGGUUCAGUAUUUACAUCAAGUUUUUGGAAGAGCCUACAAAAGUCUCUUGGAACUGAGCUCCACUUUAGCACGGCUUAUCAUCCCCAAACCUAUGGCCAGACAGAGUGGGUAAAUCAGAUCCUUGAGGAUAUGUUGAGAGCAUGUGUAAUGAACUUUGGAGAAUCAUGGGAUAAGCAUCUACACCUAGCAGAAUUUGCUUACAAUAAUAGUUAUCAAUCCAGCAUACAAAUGGCUCCAUAUGAGGCAUUGUACGGGAGGAAAUGCAGAUCACCUAUAUGCUGGUAUGAAGUUGGAGAGAGACCAUUACUUGGUCCUGACAUAGUGAGAGAGAAUGAUGAGAAGAUCCAACUAAUCAAAGAACGACUCCAGAUUGCACAAAAUAGGCAGAAGAGCUAUGCUGACCGGAAUAGGAGGGUUAUGCAAUUGGCAGUAGGAGACUUGGUUUAUCUAAAAGUAUCACCUAUGAGAGGGGUUCGACGCUUUGGAAUCAAAGGAAAGUUGAGUCCUAGAUAUGUUGGGCCAUUUAAAAUUUUGGAGGAGAAGGGAACAUCUGCUUAUAAGUUGGAGUUACCAGAACGUUUAUCAAGAAUUCACAAUGUCUUCCACAUAUCUCAACUUAAGAAAUGCAACAAGCCACCACCACAAGUAUCAGACUUGGAGAUUGAAUUACAACCAGACCUAACAUAUGAAGAACGACCAUUGAAGAUCUUAGAAGUUGAA
rnacentral:lncRNA from 1 species